UACGUAGGAGGCGAGCGUUGUCCGGAAUCACUGGGUGUAAAGCGCGUGUAGGCGGCCUGCCAAGUCUGCUGUGAAAGCGCCUGGCUUAACCGGGCGAGGUCGGUGGAAACUGGCGGGCUGGAGGACGGUAGAGGGGGGUGGAAUUCCCGGUGUAGUGGUGAAAUGCGUAGAGAUCGGGAGGAACACCAGUGGCGAAGGCGGCUCACUGGUCCGGUACUGACGCUGAGGUGCGAAAGCGUGGGGAGCAAACAGGAUUAGAAACGUC
rnacentral:rRNA from 1 species